GAUGAACGCUGGCGGCGUGCUUAAUACAUGCAAGUCGAGGGGCAGCAUGGUGUAGCAAUACACUGAUGGCGACCGGCAAACGGGUGCGGAACACGUACAGAACCUUCCUUCGAGCGGGGAAUAGCCCAGAGAAAUUUGGAUUAAUACCCCAUAGUAUAUUGAAAAGGCAUCUUUUUAAUAUUAAAGAUUUAUCACUUGAAGAUGGCUGUGCGGCUGAUUAGGUAGUUGGCGGGGUAACGGCCCACCAAGCCUGCGAUCAGUAACUGGUGUGAGAGCACGACCAGUCACACGGGCACUGAGACACGGGCCCGACUCCUACGGGAGGCAGCAGUAAGGAAUAUUGGUCAAUGGACGAAAGUCUGAACCAGCCAUGCCGCGUGGAGGAUGAAGGUCCUCUGGAUUGUAAACUUCUUUUAUAUGGGACGAAAAAAGGCUUUUCUAAGUCGUCUGACGGUACCAUAUGAAUAAGCACCGGCUAACUCCGUGCCAGCCGCCGCUGUAACAC
rnacentral:rRNA from 1 species